rnacentral:sRNA from 1 species
GCUCAGGUAAGUCACCGCAGCCUUGGCAAGGGGGUGUGGGAGCGGUGGUCCGCUUCGGCGCCCGCCUCCCGCCGUCGGCAGGGAUCUCCCUCUUGGUGCCAGGUACCUGCCUACUGCUCUGUCGCCGAAAGUAGGGGAAAGGGCAAGCCAGGGUGCCCUAGGGCGAAACUAGGGGAAAGGUCACCGCUUCGCGCCGCCUCCCCGCGCGGCUCUCGCCUGUGCUCCCCUUGACACAGCGGAAGUCCCUUCCCUGGACUUGCUAACCGUCUCUUUUCCCAGCUGGCUCUGGACAAGUCAGAUUCCCACCCCUCUGACGCUCUGACCAGGAAAAAAUCGGCCAAGGCGGUAGGUAGCCCCGAGGCCAGGUGGACCUUAGCCAGACCCAACCAGAGCCCUGAAAUUCGCCUCUCUCUGCCCAGGAAUCUAAGUCCUUUGCUGUGGGAAUGUUCAAAGGCCAGCUCACCACAGAUCAGGUGUUCCCAUACCCGUCCGUGCUCAACGAAGAGCAGACACAGUUUCUUAAAGAGCUGGUGGAGCCUGUGUCCCGUUUCUUCGAGGAAGUGAACGAUCCUGCCAAGAAUGACGCUCUGGAGAUGGUGGAGGAGACCACUUUGCAGGGCCUCAAGGAGCUGGGGGCCUUUGGUCUGCAAGUGCCCAGUGAGCUGGGUGGUGUGGGCCUUUGCAACACCCAGUACGCCCGUUUGGUGGAGAUCGUGGGCAUGCAUGACCUUGGCGUGGGCAUUACCCUGGGGGCCCAUCAGAGCAUCGGUUUCAAAGGCAUCCUGCUCUUUGGCACAAAGGCCCAGAAAG